rnacentral:rRNA from 1 species
GAUGAACGCUGGCGGCGUGCCUAAUACAUGCAAGUCGAGCGAACGGACGAGAAGCUUGCUUCUCUGAUGUUAGCGGCGGACGGGUGAGUAACACGUGGAUAACCUACCUAUAAGACUGGGAUAACUUCGGGAAACCGGAGCUAAUACCGGAUAAUAUUUUGAACCGCAUGGUUCAAAAGUGAAAGACGGUCUUGCUGUCACUUAUAGAUGGAUCCGCGCUGCAUUAGCUAGUUGGUAAGGUAACGGCUUACCAAGGCAACGAUGCAUAGCCGACCUGAGAGGGUGAUCGGCCACACUGGAACUGAGACACGGUCCAGACUCCUACGGGAGGCAGCAGUAGGGAAUCUUCCGCAAUGGGCGAAAGCCUGACGGAGCAACGCCGCGUGAGUGAUGAAGGUCUUCGGAUCGUAAAACUCUGUUAUUAGGGAAGAACAUAUGUGUAAGUAACUGUGCACAUCUUGACGGUACCUAAUCAGAAAGCCACGGCUAACUACGUGCCAGCAGCCGCGGUAAUACGUAGGUGGCAAGCGUUAUCCGGAAUUAUUGGGCGUAAAGCGCGCGUAGGCGGUUUUUUAAGUCUGAUGUGAAAGCCCACGGCUCAACCGUGGAGGGUCAUUGGAAACUGGAAAACUUGAGUGCAGAAGAGGGAAAGUGGAAUUCCAUGUGUAGCGGUGAAAUGCGCAGAGAUAUGGAGGAACACCAGUGGCGAAGGCGACUUUCUGGUCCGUAACUGACGCUGAUGUGCGAAGGCGCGGGGAUCAAACAGGAUUAGAUACCCUGGUAGUCCACGCCGUAAACGAUGAGUGCUAAGUGUUAGGGGGUUUCCCCCCCUUAGUGCUGCAGCUAACGCAUUAAGCACUCCGCCUGGGGAGUACGACCGCAAGGUUGAAACUCAAAGGAAUUGACGGGGACCCGCACAAGCGGUGGAGCAUGUGGUUUAAUUCGAAGCAACGCGAAGAACCUUACCAAAUCUUGACAUCCUUUGACAACUCUAGAGAUAGAGCUUUCCCCUUCGGGGGACAAAGUGACAGGUGGUGCAUGGUUGUCGUCAGCUCGUGUCGUGAGAUGUUGGGUUAAGUCCCGCAACGAGCGCAACCCUUAAGCUUAGUUGCCAUCAUUAAGUUGGGCACUCUAAGUUGACUGCCGGUGACAAACCGGAGGAAGGUGGGGAUGACGUCAAAUCAUCAUGCCCCUUAUGAUUUGGGCUACACACGUGCUACAAUGGACAAUACAAAGGGCAGCGAAACCGCGAGGUCAAGCAAAUCCCAUAAAGUUGUUCUCAGUUCGGAUUGUAGUCUGCAACUCGACUACAUGAAGCUGGAAUCGCUAGUAAUCGUAGAUCAGCAUGCUACGGUGAAUACGUUCCCGGGUCU